GACGAACGCUGGCGGCGUGCUUAACACAUGCAAGUCGAACGGAAAGGCCCUGCUUUUGUGGGGUGCUCGAGUGGCGAACGGGUGAGUAACACGUGAGUAACCUGCCCUUGACUUUGGGAUAACUUCAGGAAACUGGGGCUAAUACCGGAUAGGAGCUCCUGCUGCACGGUGGGGGUUGGAAAGUUUCGGCGGUUGGGGAUGGACUCGCGGCUUAUCAGCUUGUUGGUGGGGUAGUGGCUUACCAAGGCUUUGACGGGUAGCCGGCCUGAGAGGGUGACCGGCCACAUUGGGCCUGAGAUACGGCCCAGACUCCUACGGGAGGCAGCGGUGGGGAAUAUUGCACAAUGGGCGGAAGCCUGAUGCAGCGACGCCGCGUGCGGGAUGACGGCCUUCGGGUUGUAAACCGCUUUCGCCUGUGACGAAGCGUGAGUGACGGUAAUGGGUAAAGAAGCACCGGCUAACUACGUG
rnacentral:rRNA from 1 species